UACGUAGGUGGCAAGCGUUAUCCGGAUUUAUUGGGCGUAAAGGGAACGCAGGCGGUCUUUUAAGUCUGAUGUGAAAGCCUUCGGCUUAACCGGAGUAGUGCAUUGGAAACUGGGAGACUUGAGUGGAGAAGAGGAGAGUGGAACUCCAUGUGUAGCGGUGAAAUGCGUAGAUAUAUGGAAGAACACCAGUGGCGAAAGCGGCUCUCUGGUCUGUAACUGACGCUGAGGUUCGAAAGCGUGGGUAGCAAACAGG
rnacentral:rRNA from 1 species